UACGAAGGGGGCUAGCGUUGCUCGGAAUCACUGGGCGUAAAGGGCGCGUAGGCGGCCGAUCAAGUCAGAGGUGAAAGCCCAAGGCUCAACCUUGGAACUGCCUUUGAUACUGUUUGGCUAGAGACCGGAAGAGGUAAGUGGAACUGCGAGUGUAGAGGUGAAAUUCGUAGAUAUUCGCAAGAACACCAGUGGCGAAGGCGGCUUUCUGGUCCGGUUCUGACGCUGAGGUGCGAAAGCGUGGGGAGCAAACAGG
rnacentral:rRNA from 1 species